rnacentral:rRNA from 1 species
CACGUAGGGCGCAAGCGUUGUCCGGAAUUAUUGGGCGUAAAGAGCUCGUAGGCGGUCUGUUGCGUCCGCUGUGAAAACUCGGGGCUUAACCCCGAGCCUGCAGUGGAUACGGGCAGACUAGAGGUAGGUAGGGGAGAAUGGAAUUCCCGGUGUAGCGGUGAAAUGCGCAGAUAUCAGGAGGAACACCGAUGGCGAAGGCAGGUCACUGGGCCGCAACUGACGCUGAGGAGCGAAAGCAUGGGGAGCGAACAGG